rnacentral:rRNA from 1 species
UACAGAGGUCCCAAGCGUUGUUCGGAUUCAUUGGGCGUAAAGGGUGCGUAGGCGGCGCGGUAAGUCGGGUGUGAAAUCUCGGGGCUUAACUCCGAAACUGCAUUCGAUACUGCCGUGCUUGAGGACUGGAGAAGAGACUGGAAUUUACGGUGUAGCGGUGAAAUGCGUAGAUAUCGUAAGGAAGACCAGUGGCGAAGGCGGGUCUCUGGACAGUUCCUGACGCUGAGGCACGAAGGCCAGGGGAGCAAACGGG